rnacentral:rRNA from 1 species
UACGUAGGGUGCAAGCGUUAAUCGGAAUUACUGGGCGUAAAGCGUGCGCAGGCGGCUUUGCAAGACAGAUGUGAAAUCCCCGGGCUCAACCUGGGAACUGCAUUUGUGACUGCAAGGCUGGAGUACGGCAGAGGGGGAUGGAAUUCCGCGUGUAGCAGUGAAAUGCGUAGAUAUGCGGAGGAACACCGAUGGCGAAGGCAAUCCCCUGGGCCUGUACUGACGCUCAUGCACGAAAGCGUGGGGAGCAACAGG